GCGGACGGGUGAGUAACGCGUAAAGAACUUGCCUCACAGAUAGGGACAACAUUUGGAAACGAAUGCUAAUACCUGAUAUUAUGAUUUUAGGGCAUCCUAGAAUUAUGAAAGCUAUAUGCGCUGUGAGAGAGCUUUGCGUCCCAUUAGCUAGUUGGAGAGGUAACGGCUCACCAAGGCGAUGAUGGGUAGCCGGCCUGAGAGGGUGAUCGGCCACAAGGGGACUGAGACACGGCCCUUACUCCUACGGGAGGCAGCAGUGGGGAAUAUUGGACAAUGGACCAAGAGUCUGAUCCAGCAAUUCUGUGUGCACGAUGAAGUUUUUCGGAAUGUAAAGUGCUUUCAGUUGGGAAGAAAAAAAUGACGGUACCAACAGAAGAAGUGACGGCUAAAUACGUGCCAGCAGCCGCGGUAAUACGUAUGUCACAAGCGUUAUCCGGAUUUAUUGGGCGUAAAGCGCGUCUAGGUGGUUAUAUAAGUCUGAUGUGAAAAUGCAGGGCUCAACUCUGUAUUGCGUUGGAAACUGUGUAACUAGAGUACUGGAGAGGUAAGCGGAACUACAAGUGUAGAGGUGAAAUUCGUAGAUAUUUGUAGGAAUGCCGAUGGGGAAGCCAGCUUACUGGACAGAUACUGACGCUGAAGCGCGAAAGCGUGGGUAGCAAACAGGAUUAGAUACCCUGGUAGUCCACGCCGUAAACGAUGAUUACUAGGUGUUGGGGGUCGAACCUCAGCGCCCAAGCAAACGCGAUAAGU
rnacentral:rRNA from 1 species